rnacentral:rRNA from 1 species
UUGAACGCUGGCGGUAGGCUUAACACAUGCAAGUCGAACGAAGUAGCAAUACUUAGUGGCAGACGGGUGAGUAACAUGUAGGUAUCUGCCCUUUGGCCUGGAAUAACACGAGGAAACUUGUGCUAAUACCGGAUAAGUCUUUACAGAGAAAGCUUUAUGCACCAUUGGAUGAGCCCGCACUUGAUUAGUUUGUUGGUAGGGUAAUGGCCUACCAAGUCUACGAUCUAUAGCUGGUUUGAGAGGAUGAUCAGCAACACUGGGACUGAGACACGGCCCAAACUCCUACGGGAGGCAGCAGUGGGGAAUCUUGC